GGCAGCGUAGUCGAGUGGUCUAAGGAGGUGGUUUUAGGCACCAGUCUGAAAGGGUGCGGUUUAGAAUCCCGCCGCUGUCG
rfam:Echinococcus granulosus EG_S00115, whole genome shotgun sequence.